GCACGUGCACUGAGCGUACUCUGACUUUAGCAUUGUACUUAUGAGUGGGGAUUUGUGUCCACGUUGGUAAUAAGUGAAUGUAACAAUAGUGCCGAUAGAACAUACUAUAUUUACGGUCUUAUUCAUAAUAAAACUAUCAGAAUUAUCGGAAGUUUAUCUGGGCGUUAUCGGAGGCAUGUAAAAAAUUGGUAUUCAUAAUGGUUCAAUUGCGCUAAAAGUCUCCGAUAAAGAUGCUUUAAUUUAUCGAGCCUAACCCCCGUCUUUACACCUAUGUUAAGCGUUCGAUAGCAAAAAAAUGGCUGACGUCGGUCAGCUGUUUCGUGUUUGACGCUUGUUGUGUGUGUGUCAGUCUGUACUUAGAAGUAAACAACAUUUCGAUCAUUUUCGUUUCAAGAAAUAAUUUUAUUUAGUUACGUAUUAAAAAUGCAAGCUAGGCUGCUUUAGGUAGAAAAAUGUCUCGUCAGAAAUUAGAUCCGUUUUCUCUGGAUAAUUAUGAAUUCCGUAAACGGUAUUAUUUUUCCAAACAUACGGCUGCAUUUAUAAGUGACUGAUAGUCCGCGAAGAGUUGCUGUUUCACCGUAUAGGUUGUGGCAGAUCACCAGAAUUGCAAGUAUUAAUAAACUGCAUUGACAUGUUGGGAUCGUCAUGAGAGGAACCCUUGUUAAGGUUGGAAUUUCACCAUGUAAAAGACUGCCCAUCUAUAAUUGGUUGUAUUUUCUACACCCAUAUA